rnacentral:misc_RNA from 1 species
GUUGGUGAACCAGCGGAGGGAUCAUUACAGAGUUGCAAAACUCCCAACCAUUGUGAACCUACCUCACCGUUGCUUCGGCGGGUGGCCCUCUCCGGGGCCGCGCCAGCCCCCCCGGGGGUCGGCAACCCGUCAGAGGACUGAAACUCUUAGUAACCACUGGCCUCUCUGAGUAACUUAUACAAUAAGUCAAAACUUUCAACAACGGAUCUCUUGGUUCUG